UUAAACCGACACAGGUGGGUGAGGAGAGUAUCCUAAGGCCAGCGAGAGAACUAUUGUUAAGGAACUCGGCAAAAUGACCCCGUAACUUAGGGAGAAGGGGUGCCUGUCUAUGACAGGCCGCAGAGAAUAGGCCCAAGCGACUGUUUACCAAAAACACAGGUUUCUGCUAAGUCGCAAGACGAUGUAUAGGAGCUGACGCCUGCCCGGUGCUGGAAGGUUAAGGGGAUCUGUUAGAGCAAUCGAAGCAGUGAACUUAAGCCCCAGUAAACGGCGGCCGUAACAAUAACGGUCCUAAGGUAGCGAAAUUCCUUGUCGGGUAAGUUCCGACCCGCACGAAAGGCGUAACGAUUUGGGCACUGUCUCAACAAUAGACUCGGUGAAAUUGUAAUCCCGGUGAAGAUGCCGGGUACCUGCGACAGGACGGAAAGACCCCAUGGAGCUUUACUGUAGCUUGACGUUGGGUCUUGGUACUACAUGUACAGGAUAGGUGGGAGACUAUGAAGCAUGGACGCCAGUCUGUGUGGAGUCAUCCUUGGGAUACCACCCUUGUAGUACUGGGAUCCUAACCAUAGGCCUUGAAUCAGGUCUUGGAACACCGUCAGGUAGGCAGUUUGACUGGGGCGGCCGCCUCCUAAAAAGUAACGGAGGCGCUCAAAGGUUUCCUCAGCACGGUCGGAAAUCGUGCGAAGAGUGUAAAGGCAAAAGGAAGCUUGAUUGCAAGACAUACAGGUCGAGCAAGGACGAAAGUCGGACUUAGUGAUCCGGUGGUACCGCAUGGAAGGGCCAUCGCUCAACGGAUAAAAGCUACCCUGGGGAUAACAGGCUUAUCUCCCCCAAGAGUCCACAUCGACGGGGAGGUUUGGCACCUCGAUGUCGGCUCACCACAUCCUGGGGCUGUAGUAGGUCCCAAGGGUUGGGCUGUUCGCCCAUUAAAGUGGUACGCGAGCUGGGUUCAGAACGUCGUGAGACAGUUCGGUCCCUAUCCGUCGCAGGCGUAGGAAAUUUGAGAAGACCUGUCCUUAGUACGAGAGGACCGGGAUGGACGUACCUCUGGUGUACCAGUUGUUCUGCCAAGGGCAUGGCUGGGUAGCUAUGUACGGAAUGGAUAAGCGCUGAAAGCAUCUAAGCGCGAAGCCAACUUCAAGAUAAGAUUUCCCACCGUAAGGGUAAGACCCCAGGAAGACUACCUGGUUGAUAGGUCGAAGGUGUAAGUGCAGUAAUGUAUUUAGCUUAUCGAUACUAAUAGGUCGAGGACUUG
rnacentral:rRNA from 1 species